CCUACGGGAGACUGCAGUCGAGAAUCAUUCACAAUGGGGGAAACUCUGAUGGUGCGACGCCGCGUGGGGGAAUGAAGGUCUUCGGAUUGUAAACCCCUGUCAUGUGGGAUCAAAUUAAAAAGAUAGUACCACAAGAGGAAGAGACGGCUAACUCUGUGCCAGCAGCCGCGGUAAUACAGAGGUCUCAAGCGUUGUUCGGAAUCACUGGGCGUAAAGCGUGCGUAGGCUGUUUCGUAAGUCGUGUGUGAAAGGCGCGGGCUCAACCCGCGGACGGCACAUGAUACUGCGAGACUAGAGUAAUGGAGGGGGAACCGGAAGUCUCGGUGUAGCAGUGAAAUGCGUAGAUAUCGAGAGGAACACUCGUGGCGAAGGCGGGUUCCUGGACAUUAACUGACGCUGAGGCACGAAGGCCAGGGGAGCGAAAGGGAUUAGAUACCCGAGUAGUC
rnacentral:rRNA from 1 species